rnacentral:ncRNA from 1 species
UACGGUUGGCUUCGGGUCUGCUGAGCAGAAAUGUAGCUGUUCGCUUGCGGGUCACGUUUUGCCACCGAUUUUGAGGGUUCGAACGGUUCGGGUCGCAUUGACCAGUUGCACGUCAUCGUGGUGGGCCGCGCCUGGUGCCGGCGAGCGUUAACGCGUUCUGCCGGGUCACGCCUCUUGUCGGCCCGCCGCGUCGGUGAAGUGUUCAAAGCAGGCUCUCGAGCCUGGAUAAUGGUGCAUGGAAUAAUGGAAUAGGACCUCGGUUCUAUUUUGUUGGUUUUCGGAGCGCGAGGUAAUGAUUAAGAGGGACAGACGGGGGCAUUCGUACUGUGCCGUUAGAGGUGAAAUUCUUGGAUCGGCGCAAGACGAACGACUGCGAAAGCAUUUGCCAAGAAUGUUUUCUUUAAUCAAGAGCGAAAGUCAGAGGUUCGAAGACGAUCAGAUACCGUCCUAGUUCUGACUAUAAACGAUGCCAACUAGCGAUCGGGGGGCGUUACAUUGACGACCCCUCCGGCAGCUUACGGGAAACCAAAGUCUUUGGGUUCCGGGGGAAGUAUGGUUGCAAAGCUGAAACUUAAAGGAAUUGACGGAAGGGCACCACCAGGAGUGGAGCCUGCGGCUUAAUUUGACUCAACACGGGAAAUCUCACCCGGCCCGGACACAGUGAGGAUUGACAGAUUGAGAGCUCUUUCUUGAUUCUGUGGGUGGUGGUGCAUGGCCGUUCUUAGUUGGUGGAGCGAUUUGUCUGGUUAAUUCCGAUAACGAACGAGACUCUGGCUUGCUAAAUAGUUACGCGACCAUCCCGGUCGGCGUUUAAC